rnacentral:rRNA from 1 species
UACAGAGGGUGCGAGCGUUGUUCGGAAUUAUUGGGCGUAAAGGGCGCGUAGGCGGUGCGGUAAGUCACCUGUGAAAUCUCCUGGCUCAACUGGGAGCUUGCAGGCGAAACUGCCGUGCUGGAGUGUGGGAGAGGUGCGUGGAAUUCCGGGUGGAGUGGUGAAAUGCGUAGAUAUCCGGAGGAAUACCAAAGGCGAAGGCAGUGUCCUGGCUGGUAACUGACGCUCAGGUGCGAAAGCUAGGGGAGCGAACAGG